GGGGUCAGUAGGGCCAUCAAUGGGGUCAGUGGGGUCAAUGGGGUCAGUGGGGCCAUCAAUGGGGUCAGUGGGGCCAUCAAUGGGUUCAAUGGGGUCAAUGGGGUCAGUGGGGCCAUCAAUGGGGUCAGUAGGGCC
rnacentral:lncRNA from 1 species